CUGGUAUCCUAUUAAUUAUUUACCAAAAGAAUUCAGUAUUAUAAUUGUAACAUAAGCGUAAAAAACUUAUAAAACAACUUUUAACAACGGAUCUCUUGGUUCUCGCAUCGAUGAAGAACGUAGCAAAGUGCGAUAACUAGUGUGAAUUGCAUAUUCAGUGAAUCAUCGAGUCUUUGAACGCAACUUGCGCUCAAUGGUAUUCCAUUGAGCACGCCUGUUUCAGUAUCAAAAACACCCCACAUUCAUAAUUUUGUUGUGAAUGGAAAUGAGAGUUUCGGCUUUAUUGCUGAAUUCUUUAAAAUUAUUAGGCCUGAACUAUUGUUCUUUCUGCCUGAACAUUUUUUUAAUAUAAAGGAAUGCUCUAGUAAAAAGACUAUCUCUGGGGCCUCCCAAAUAAAUCAUUCUUAAAUUUGAUCUGAAAUCAGGCGGGAUUACCCGCUGAACUUAAGCAUAUCAAUAAGC
rnacentral:rRNA from 1 species